GUGAGUCAUCGAAUCUUUGAACGCAUCUUGCGCUCCGGGGUAUUCCUCGGAGCAUGCCUGUUUGAGUGUCGUGGAAAUCUCAACCCCGCCGGGUUUUGUCGCUCGGUAGUUGGGCUUGGAUCGUGACCGCUUGCCGGCCUCAGUUCGGAGGCCCGGGCUCGGUCGAAAUACAAGAGUGGCUGAUUCCCAAUCCGGCCUGACUCGGCGUGAUAAUCACACUUCGCCGAUUACGGAUGGGCCAAAGGUCGCUUCCAAGGACACAUCACUUUUGAACUAGACCUCAAAUCAGGUAGGACUACCCGCUGAACUUAAGCAUAUCAAUAAGGCGAGG
rnacentral:rRNA from 1 species